rnacentral:rRNA from 1 species
UACGUAGGCAGCGAGCGUUGUUCGGAAUUACUGGGCGUAAAGAGUGUGUAGGCGGUGCUCUAAGUUCGGUGUGAAAUCUCCUGGCUCAACUGGGAGGGUGCGCCGGAAACUGGAGUGCUUGAGCGUGGGAGAGGAAAGCGGAAUUCCUGGUGUAGCGGUGAAAUGCGUAGAUAUCAGGAGGAACACCUGUGGUGUAGACGGCUUUCUGGACCAUAGCUGACGCUGAGGUGCGAAAGCGUGGGGAGCGAACAGG